AUUGAACGCUGGCGGCAUGCCUUACACAUGCAAGUCGAACGGCAGCACGGGCUUCGGUCUGGUGGCGAGUGGCGAACGGGUGAGUAAUGUAUCGGAACGUACCCUUCAGUGGGGGAUAACUAUCCGAAAGGAUAGCUAAUACCGCAUAUUCUCUGAGGAGGAAAGCGGAGGAUCGCAAGACCUCGCGCAGACGGAGCGGCCGAGAUCAGAUUAGCUAGUUGGUGGGGUAAAGGCCUACCAAGGCGACGAUCUGUAGCGGGUCUGAGAGGAUGAUCGACAAGACUGGGACUGGGACACGGCCCAGACUCCUACGGGAGGCAGCGGCGGGGAAUUUUGGACAAUGGGGGCAACCCUGAUCCAGCCAUGCCGCGUGAGUGAAGAAGGCCUUCGGGUUGUAAAGCUCUUUCGGCCGGGAAGAAAUCGCGUGAGUUAAUACCUUGCGUGGAUGACGGUACCGGAAUAAGAAGCACCGGCUAACUACGUGCCAGCCGCCGCGGUAACAC
rnacentral:rRNA from 1 species